rnacentral:rRNA from 1 species
CCCGCUGAACUUAAGCAUAUCAAUAAGCGGAGGAAAAGAAACUAACAAGGAUUCCCCUAGUAACGGCGAGUGAAGCGGGAUGAGCUCAAAUUUAAAAUCUGGUAGUCUUUGACUGCCCGAGUUGUAAUCUAGAGAAGUGUUUUCUGUGCUGGACUGUGUACAAGUUUCCUGGAUACGGAACAUCAUAGAGGGUGAGAAUCCCGUCCUUGACGCAGGCUCCUAGUGCUUUGUGAUACGCUCUCAACGAGUCGAGUUGUUUGGGAUUGCAGCUCAAAAUGGGAGGUAAAUUCUUUCUAAAGCUAAAUAUUGGCGAGAGACCGAUAGCGAACAAGUACCGUGAGGGAAAGAUGAAAAGCACUUUGGAAAGAGAGUUAAACAGUACGUGAAAUUGUUAAAAGGGAAACGAUUGAAGUCAGUCGCGUCUACUUGGACUCAGCCUUGCCUUGGCUUGGUGCAUUUCCUUGUGGACGGGCCAGUGUUCAUGUUGGUUGCUGGAAAAAGUGUAGGGGAAUGUGGCUCUUUCGGGAGUGUUAUAGCCCCUGUUCAUAUACAGUGACUGAUAUGGAGUGGUACAGCAUGCUUCGGCGGUGCUUGUGCUGGCAUAAUGGCUUUAAACGACCCGUCUUGAAACACGG